CAGACGGAUGGCUCCUGCAAUGUCAAUCAUAAAUAAUGGACCUAUUACCAUUCACCAUAAUGAGAGGCUAUAAUCUAGUUAUCACCAUAACUAGCUCAUUUUAGGGAUCUAAUAAUUUAGAGAAUUGAGUCAGUUUAGAAAAAAAGAGAAAAGAAAAGAUCAAUCAGUAGACUAUAAUCCUCCCACUGACUUCACCAAGUCACUGAAUCGGGUUAGGUCAUGCUGAUUGAACUGAAACCUAGAUUAGUCACAUUGAUCAAUCUUAAUGGCAUGGGCUAACUUGAAUUAGUUAGCAAUCUAAUCAAAAUCUAGUUCACCAAAUUGGCCAGAUAAG
rnacentral:lncRNA from 1 species